rnacentral:lncRNA from 1 species
CUUGGGAAUCUUUUAGCUCAGGAUGCUGUGUUCCAUAUUCACGACGGCAUUUCCAUGCUCGUGAGGGCAACCAGUAGAACUGUUCUCUGUGCCGGACGAGCACCAAUGGCUCCGCUCCUCCUUGCUGCCUCCCUGAGUCGCUCUGUCCCUGGGACUGCUAAGGGCACGGGGCCUGUAGUGACGGUUCCGGCCGCCAGGGAAGAUGCUGGCCUUCCUGGUCUGCCUGGGAUUAAUGAACUUGGCCACUCUUGGGACUCCUCCCCUUGCUAGCCUGCAGGUUCACCUCUCCCAAGAGUCCAGGGUCUGUAUCGCCCCUUUCCUUCUCCCCUUAACUGAUUUAUCUUGCUUUGGGAUAAUACCACCCCCUCCCUCCCCACGACCAGACAAGCCAUGUGUGCCCCGCCCUCUCCUAAGCAAUUUACAGGAAUGAACUCCUGACUCUCCAAACAACUGUAUGGGACAGGCACCCCCCCAUCUUCCAGAGAACAGCAUGCAGGCUCAGAGAGGUGAAGUGACUUGCCCAUGGUCACACUGCUGGGGAGGUGGAGAAGCCAGGAUGUAGGCUGGCUUAACUGUGCUGCUAUUCUGCCUCAUGGCAUUUAGUUUGAAGAGAAGGGGCUUCAGGACAAUACUAACCUAGGUGCACAGGUUGUCCUUCCCGUUGCUAAGGAGCCCUAGGCAAGUCAGUUAAUCUCAGAGUCUGUUUCAUCGGCAAAAUGGGCCUGAAUUUCUUCCUGAUUCACUGGGUAGUUUGUACAGAUGAAAUGUGAUCACAGCUGCCAAUAAACCUGGUCCCACAGUGACGUGGACAGCAGCCUCCUGCAGCACCACUGCUCCGCCCGGGCUAUGAGAAGAUGGGCACUGGCAGGGAGGGUGGCAGGCAGUCCCAACAGCUGGGGCUCCAGGCUGAUAGCAGUGGCUGAGAGGGAGUCAUCCCAGAUCUCAGGCUAUCCCACCCAUCUCAUCCCAGAGGGCACCAUAUGUCUCUCCACCACAUAGUCACCUGUCUCCCUGACUGUGUUCCACUGUCACUAGAACAAGAGGAUCUGGGCCUGCCAAGCUCCAAAGACAGCUCAUCGUGAGGAGGAAAAGUGACUUUACAAAAGCAAUGUGUGGUGGCUGUUAAACUGCUGCAUCUUCUAUCCGCCUUCACACCAUUCUCACGCACAUACACAUGCGCACACACAUGCCUACAUGCACACACAUAGGCAUGGGCGCACACACAGGCAUGCGCACACAUGCGUACAUGCACGCACACAGGC